GACGAACGCUGGCGGCGUGCUUAACACAUGCAAGUCGAACGGAAAGGCCCCUUUGGGGGUACUCGAGUGGCGAACGGGUGAGUAACACGUGAGUAACCUGCCCUUGACUUCGGGAUAACUUCAGGAAACUGGGGCUAAUACCGGAUAGGAAUCCUUGCUGCAUGGUGGGGGUUGGAAAGCUUCGGCGGUUUUGGAUGGACUCGCGGCUUAUCAGCUUGUUGGUGGGGUAGUGGCUUACCAAGGCUUUGGCGGGUAGCCGGCCUGAGAGGGCGACCGGCCACAUUGGGACUGAGAUACGGCCCAGACUCCGACGGGUGGCAGCAGUGGGGAAUAUUGCACAAUGGGCGGAAGCCUGAUGCAGCAACGCCGCGUGCGGGAUGACGGCCUUCGGGUUGUAAACCGCUUUCAGCAGGGGCGAAGCUUGUGGUGACGGUACCUGCAGAAGAAGCACCGGCUAACUACGUG
rnacentral:rRNA from 1 species